UACGAAGGGGGCUAGCGUUGUUCGGAAUUACUGGGCGUAAAGCGCGUGUAGGCGGGUCUUUAAGUCCGGGGUGAAAUGCCAAGGCUCAACCUUGGAACUGCCUUUGAUACUGGAGAUCUUGAGUCCGGGAGAGGUGAGUGGAAUUGCGAGUGUAGAGGUGAAAUUCGUAGAUAUUCGCAAGAACACCAGUGGCGAAGGCGGCUCACUGGCCCGAUACUGACGCUGAGGCACGAAAGCGUGGGGAGCAAACAGG
rnacentral:rRNA from 1 species